UUUUUUCCAUUACACAAAUACGGAAAAAACGACAAGACAAAAACAAAAAUAAAAAAGCUUUAUAUAUUUAUUUAUAAAUAGAGAUUGUUUAACUUCUUGUUUUUUUUCGUUUUCUUACAGAUUAAUUAAGUUACAUGAACGAUCUAAUGGGAGAAACAAGAUUCUCUAGAGAAUCAUCAUCAUCGGCGACGACAGAGAUCGUGUUCUCUGAGACGGAGAUGG
rnacentral:lncRNA from 1 species